AGAGAGGAAUAUUGGACAAUGGGCGCAAGCCUGAUCCAGCCAUGCCGCGUGUAGGAAGACGGCCCUAUGGGUUGUAAACUACUUUUAUACGGGAAGAAACCUAUCCUCGUGAGGAUAGCUGACGGUACCGUAAGAAUAAGCACCGGCUAACUCCGUGCCAGCAGCCGCGGUAAUACGGAGGGUGCAAGCGUUAUCCGGAAUCAUUGGGUUUAAAGGGUCCGUAGGCGGGCUAAUAAGUCAGUGGUGAAAUGCAGGGGCUCAACUCCGGCACUGCCAUUGAUACUGUUAGUCUUGAAUUAUUGUGAAGUGGUUAGAAUAUGUAGUGUAGCGGUGAAAUGCUUAGAUAUUACAUAGAAUACCGAUUGCGAAGGCAGAUCACUAACAAUAUAUUGACGCUGAUGGACGAAAGCGUGGGUAGCGAACAGGAUUAGAUACCCUGGUAGUCCACGCCGUAAACGAUGGUUACUAGCUGUUUGGACGAAAUUGACGUCUGAGUGGCCA
rnacentral:rRNA from 1 species